AUGGACUUCUGCAUUCAAAAAACAAAACAAACACAUAAAAUAUUAGCGAAAGUCUCUCAUCUAAUGAGAAGCACAUAGAGCUGAUAAACAUAAAAAUCGAAACUUUAUUUAUCUUUGUUGUUCUCUUUGGGUCACAAUAGACCGGCCCAUUAGCCUAGUCACACCGGCCCAUUAGCCCAGUCAACUCCAUUGUAGAAGAGAGGACUUGAUUUUGGGUGAGAUUGAGAGAGAGAAGAAGAGAAUCGUCAAGUGUUUAUGGUGGUGAAAGUUAUAAGAAUCGUUAAAUUUGACGAAAGGCCAUUUGGAGAAGCAAACUGAAUUGCUUUUAGAAACUCGUAAAACGAUGACUCAAGAACUCCAAACACUUGAGGUGGAAGAAGAGAUGAUGAUGCGGAAAUUCUAUGAGUUAAUGUCUAGACAGCGCUUAAAUAAGAAGAAAAUGGAGAAGACUCAAAAUGUGUCACAUGGUAAAGAAAUAGUUGAAGUGGAAGAUACUUCUAGUACAUCCAGAGAGUUAAUCGUAUAUGUAAGGAAAAGGAAAAAGAAUCAAAAGCCAACAUAAUGAAGAUAUCCAUUUCUUGUUUAAGUGAUGGAUAUAGUUUUCACAUUGUUUAUGGUGUGCAAUAAUAAGUUGUAUUUUUUGAGUGAUGAAAAUUUAUACGGGUAUGUAGUCAUGAACCUUGUAAGAUGUUCUUGGGGUCAUAAGAGUUUUAUCUGAUCCUGCGAGACGAUAAUUUAAUAACAUUACAAGCAAAAUAUAUCCAUUGAAG
rnacentral:lncRNA from 1 species